rnacentral:rRNA from 1 species
UACCGAAUGUGCCCUUCGGGGGAAAGAUUUAUCGCCUUUAGAGCGGCCCGCGUCUGAUUAGCUAGUUGGUGAGGUAAUGGCUCACCAAGGCGACGAUCAGUAGCUGGUCUGAGAGGAUGAUCAGCCACAUUGGGACUGAGACACGGCCCAAACUCCUACGGGAGGCAGCAGUGGGGAAUCUUGCGCAAUGGGCGAAAGCCUGACGCAGCCAUGCCGCGUGAAUGAUGAAGGUCUUAGGAUUGUAAAAUUCUUUCACCGGGGACGAUAAUGACGGUACCCGGAGAAGAAGCCCCGGCUAACUUCGUGCCAGCAGCCGCGGUAAUACGAAGGGGGCUAGCGUUGCUCGGAAUUACUGGGCGUAAAGGGAGCGUAGGCGGACAUUUAAGUCAGGGGUGAAAUCCCGGGGCUCAACCUCGGAAUUGCCUUUGAUACUGGGUGUCUUGAGUAUGAGAGAGGUGUGUGGAACUCCGAGUGUAGAGGUGAAAUUCGUAGAUAUUCGGAAGAACACCAGUGGCGAAGGCGACACACUGGCUCAUUACUGACGCUGAGGCUCGAAAGCGUGGGGAGCAAACAGGAUUAGAUACCCUGGUAGUCCACGCCGUAAACGAUGAUUGCUAGUUGUCGGGAUGCAUGCAUUUCGGUGACGCAGCUAACGCAUUAAGCAAUCCGCCUGGGGGAGUACGGGUCGCCAGGAUUAAAACUCAAAGGAAUU